AACGAACGCUGGCGGCAGGCCUAACACAUGCAAGUCGAGCGAGGACUUCGGUUCUAGCGGCGGACGGGUGAGUAACGCGUGGGAAUGUGCCCUUCUCUACGGAAUAGCCCUGGGAAACUGGGAGUAAUACCGUAUACGCCCUAUUGGGGAAAGGUUUAUCGGAGAAGGAUCAGCCCGCGUUGGAUUAGGUAGUUGGUGGGGUAAUGGCCUACCAAGCCGACGAUCCAUAGCUGGUUUGAGAGGAUGAUCAGCCACACUGGGACUGAGACACGGCCCAGACUCCUACGGGAGGCAGCAGUGGGGAAUCUUAGACAAUGGGGGCAACCAUGAUCUAGCCAUGCCGCGUGAGUGAUGAAGGCCUUAGGGUUGUAAAGCUCUUUCAGCUGGGAAGAUAAUGACGGUACCAGCAGAAGAAGCCCCGGCUAACUACGUG
rnacentral:rRNA from 1 species